AUGAGUGAUAUUGAGCUUAAAAAAAAAAGAGCAAGCGCGUGGCAAUUCAGCAUCAGACUCGUGGAUUCCAUCCCAAUUAUCAUCACCAUCAGAUUUUUUAAUCCAACGCUGCAACCAAACUCUUCUCGCCUUCUUUUGCCACCGUUCAAAGGUCCGACCGCCACAACAGCUUCGUCUUCUCCGCAGAUUUACUUUCUUUUCUUGAUACCUCUCAGUAUCGUUUCCGUCUCCACAUCGAAUCACCGUUCGAUCAACUCAAAGGUUUCAAUUAAGAUCCGAAUCAGAAAGCGACAAUAUCAUGAGGAUGGAGGUGAAUUGAGAGAGUGA